rnacentral:rRNA from 1 species
AGAGUUUGAUCCUGGCUCAGAACGAACGCUGGCGGCAGGCUUAACACAUGCAAGUCGAGCGCUGUACGCGAGUACGGAGCGGCGGACGGGUGAGUAACGCGUGGGAACAUGCCCUUUGGAUUGGGAUAACCCGGGGAAACCCGGGCUAAUACCGGAUACGCCCAGAUUUAGAUUUGGGGAAAGAUUUAUUGCCGAAGGAU